UACGUAGGGUGCAAGCGUUGUCCGGAAUUAUUGGGCGUAAAGAGCUUGUAGGCGGUUUGUCGCGUCUGCUGUGAAAUUUCGGGGCUCAACCCCGAACUUGCAGUGGGUACGGGCAGACUAGAGUGUGGUAGGGGAGACUGGAAUUCCUGGUGUAGCGGUGAAAUGCGCAGAUAUCAGGAGGAACACCGGCGGCGAAGGCGGGACUCUGGGCCGAUACUGACGCUGAGGAGCGAAAGCGUGGGGAGCAAACAGG
rnacentral:rRNA from 1 species